rnacentral:rRNA from 1 species
GUCCAGACUCCUACGGGAGGCAGCAGUGGGGAAUAUUGCACAAUGGGGGGAACCCUGAUGCGGCGACGCCGCGUGGGUGAAGGAGUACUUCGGUACGUAAAGCCCUAUCAGCAGGAAAGAAAAUGACGGUACCUGACUAAGAAGCCCCGGCUAACUACGUGCCAGCAGCCGCGGUAAUACGUAGGGGGCAAGCGUUAUCCGGAUUUACUGGGUGUAAAGGGAGCGUAGACGGCAGUGCAAGUCCGGAGUGAAAGCCCGGGGCCCAACCCCGGGACUGCUCUUGGAACUGCGCGGCUGGAGUGCAGGAGGGGCAGGCGGAAUUCCUGGUGUAGCGGUGAAAUGCGUAGAUAUUAGGAGGAACACCAGUGGCGAAGGCGGCCUACUGGACGGUGACUGACGCUGAGGCUCGAAGGCGUGGGGAGCAAACAGGAUUAGAUACCCCUGUA